CUACGGGCGGCAGCAGGCGCGAAACCUUUACAAUGCACGAAAGUGUGAUAGGGGAACUCAAAGUGCUUUACUUAGGUAAGGCUUUUGCCAAGUCAAAACCGCUUGGCGAAUAAGUGGUGGGUAAGACGGGUGCCAGCCGCCGCGGUAACACCUGCGCCACAAGUGGCAAGCAGCAUUAUUGGGCCUAAAGCGUCCGUAGCCGGUUUUGUAAGUCUUCUGUGAAAUUGUUGAGCUUAACUUAACAGCGUGCAGAAGAAACUGUAAAACUAGGAACUGGGGGGAGUCAGAAGAAUUUCUGGGGGAGCGGUAAAAUGUUAUAAUCCCAGAAGGACUACCAGUGGCGAAAGCGUCUGACUAAUACAGGUUCGACGGUGAGGGACGAAAGCCAGGGGAGCAAUCCGGAUUAGAUACCCGGGUAGUC
rnacentral:rRNA from 1 species